UACGUAGGGUGCAAGCGUUAAUCGGAAUACUGGGCGUAAAGCGUGCGCAGGCGGUGAUGUAAGACAGGUGUGAAAUCCCCGGGCUUAACCUGGGAACUGCAUUUGUGACUGCAUCGCUGGAGUGCGGCAGAGGGGGAUGGAAUUCCGCGUGUAGCAGUGAAAUGCGUAGAUAUGCGGAGGAACACCGAUGGCGAAGGCAAUCCCCUGGGCCUGCACUGACGCUCAUGCACGAAAGCGUGGGGAGCAAACAGGAUUGAGAA
rnacentral:rRNA from 1 species